GGUUCAGAAUGAACGCUGGCGGCGUGCCUAACACAUGCAAGUCGGAUGUGCCGCAAGGUGCAUGGCAGACGGGUGAGUAACGCGUGGAAACCUACCUCUUGUGGGGAAUAACGCUCCGAAAGGAGUGGUAAUACCGCAUGAGACCACGGACUGGGAUGUCCAUGGUGAAACCUGGGGACCGCAAGGCCUGGGGCAAGGAGAGGGUUCUGCGUCUGAUUAGCUGGUUGGUGGGGUAACGGCCUACCAAGGCGACGAUCAGUAGCCGGCCUGAGAGGGUGAUCGGCCACAUUGGAACUGAGACACGGUCCAAACUCCUACGGGAGGCAGCAGUGGGGAAUUUUGCGCAAUGGGCGAAAGCCUGACGCAGCAACGCCGCGUGGGUGAUGAAGGUCUUCGGAUCGUAAAACCCUGUCGUCAGGGACGAAGGUCACCGGUUGAACAUUCCGGCGACUUGACGGUACCUGGAGAGGAAGCCCCGGCUAACUCUGUGCCAGCCGCCGC
rnacentral:rRNA from 1 species